rnacentral:pre_miRNA from 1 species
AGUGGUAUAACUGGUUCAAAUUGUGAUUCCAUUCCAUUUUUUGAGGAAUCUCCGUACUACUUACCAGAAUGGUUGCACCAAUUUGCAGUCCCACCAGCAAU